UCCAACUUAACGUUGGCAGUCUUAUUAGAGUGCCCAACUGAAUGCUGGCAACUAAUAACAAGGGUUGCGCUCGUUGCGGGACUUAACCCAACAUCUCACGACACGAGCUGACGACAGCCAUGCAGCACCUGUCUCUCUGUCCCUUUCGGGCCUAUAAUAUCUCUACUAUAUUCAGAGGAUGCCAAACCCAGGUAAGGUUUUUCGCGUUGCAUCGAAUUAAACCACAUGCUCCACCGCUUGUGCGGGCCCCCGUCAAUUUCUUUGAGUUUUAAUCUUGCGACCGUACUCCCCAGGCGGGGUACUUAAUGCGUUAGCUCCGGCACUGAAGGGGUCAAUACCUUCAACACCAAGUACCCAUCGUUUACGGCGUGGACUAC
rnacentral:misc_RNA from 1 species